GCUGCCAUCUAUUGUUAAACAAAUCUGGAACAGACUGGGACAAUCCAAUUUAUUCUGACUUAACGCUGUCAUUUGCCAGUAGGGCUGCAUGCGGGGCUUAUGGUUUCUUCCUGCUGUUAAAAGACUUGCAGAAUAGAGCUGCAGAAUAAGUGUAUAUUCUACAAUGCAUAUUGAAAAACAAAUGGCAAGAGACAUGGUAAAGAUCAUGGGUUUUGUCCUUUAUCGGUUACUUGAAAUGACUUCUCUGCCUCAGUUAUUCAUCUAUGCCAUCUGUUUGGCAUCACUUUGAGUUUUAAGUUAUUAGAAAGAAUCUUGACUGUGCAUAUUCAGUAUUCCUGAGAGCAAAAGAAGCUUGGAAUAACCAAAGAUAUCCAGUGGGUACAUGCAUGAGUAAUGCUGACAAAACACAUCACGUUUAAAGGCAAGACCUCUCAUUUUUGUUGUCCUGAAGGGAAUUAAUUCUGGAGCUGAGCUGUCCAAAACUACAUAACCAUCUAUUAGGCAUUCAAGUAGUUGUCCAGUCUUUUUUCAAAAGUCUUUCAUUCUUGAAAUUUCAAAUAUCUAGAAUUGUACCAAAGACCAUUUUCUUGCAAGUGUGGCAUUUCAUUCAAGUAUUACUCGUGUCUGUUUUAAUUGUUGGCCUUGCUCCCUGAGGUCUGCAUUUUCCUAGAGCUAGUAUUCACUCGGUGAAUCUACAGAGACAUUGAAGUGGAACCUGCAGCAUCUUCUGAGGAAGGCUAAUGUUAGGCAUCACAACUCAAAGAAUUUAUGACAGAAGUUUUGAAAACAUGGAAGAAAAUCAGGUCACUUUUGGAGAAAUUGAACACCUCUGAAAAUAUGUUUUGCAAACAGCAUUUCAGUAAUUUGAUAGAGGCUUAUCACAUUCACCACAUUACUUGCUGAGGACUUUUCACAUUUCCCAGAAGUUCAUCAACUCCUUCUCUUUUCAGGAAGUACAUUUACUAUGUAAACAUGUUUUAUAUAGAACAUACAGCUGUUUUGAACGAGCACUCAAUGAAACAUAAGAGUACAGUGCCUACACUGCCACUUCAGAAACUCUGAGAUACCACAGCAUUGUGUUUUGGAAGAGUGAACACACAAAGACUUUGCCUGGAAAAAUGAAUGGUGGAAGUUUCUUAAAAAAAAAAAAAAAUCUUCCAUUUUUUUUGUUGU
rnacentral:lncRNA from 1 species